CCUGCUUCAGUCUGAAUGAGACACUGACGUGUCAUUUUCACAUUUAUGAAGUUUUAAAUGUUAAUCCAUCUUGGAGUGAAUCACUUCCUGUAUCCUCCAUUUUGAUUUAAAGAAGCGUUACAGAGGGAGAGAGCGCCACCUGUCUGCGUCAGUUCAGGAGUUUUUAGCUGUUUGACUGUUAAAAAGUUUUCUGUUCUUUAGUCAAGAAUAUUCAUAAUUUGUCAUCGUGCCGGAUAAGCGCUCCAUUAAAGUAUUCAUGUUGCUCAUACGGGAACUGAACAGGAAGUGAAAUGUCUCCGAGAUAUUUUCUUUAUAAGCCACGCCCACCACCUUCUGACCAAUCGCAGCUCGCCUCCCAGAGCUCUGUACUCGACAGUCUGACCAAUCACAGCUCGCCGCUCAGAGCGGACCUUCUGUUAGCUCAGUACCGGAGGGAACGGCUUAGCUGUAGCUUAGCUUCUUGUAGUAGCAGUUUCAGAAGUUCUCCUCCUCCAUUUUGCGAACUUUGAACUCGGUGAAUCUCGCGUCCAGCACAGUUUUCUUCCCGGGAAUUAAGGUUUUGUACGGACCGCUGCCUGAAGGAUUCGGCUGCAACGCUGAGCCUGUGCAGGCGUUGAUGUGCCGAGUGGAGCUGAAAGCUGCAUCCACUUGGUUUUCUCUCACCGACCUUGUCAGGAUGGAAGAAAGCAGAUAAAAUGUGCUUUUUUUCUUGCCUAAGCUUGAUUUACAGCUCGGUGAACUGCUCCAACAUUGCUGGAAGUUGCAGGAAAUGAGAUAUAUUUCAUUUCAUUUGGUUGCAUCACCGUUGCUGCUGCUUGUGAUGACAAUCUGCACAACCAAGAACAAUAAUCCCCUCUGGAUUUAGAUUUCCGUCUCAUUUAGAGCCGAAAAUGCAGCUUGAAAGUAAAACGAGGCGCUUCAACUCAAA